rnacentral:lncRNA from 1 species
AGGAAAGGUUCUUCUAAUACUUUGGGAGUUGAGACCCUCAGCUUUAUAAUGCACAUGGAUGCAGCCCAACACCUAUAUUUUCAUUCCAUGGAUGUGUUCUUCUAUGUUCUGAACGACUGAACCAUUAGGACUCCCAGAAGGUAGCAUAUUUCUCGAUCACAAAGCUUCACUUCAUGCUUUCCAAGGCCAAAACCAUUCCUUAUCAGAAUCGGCUGCCCUUCUAUCUAGUUUCUAGUCAUGGUUGGCAAAAUGAUAAGUGAAUCUAGUGUAUGUUUAUUUACUACUGAGAGUCAUCUGUUUUGGAUUGGAAUGCAUCAAGAAAAGGCAGAAAAUAGGGUGAGCUAUCCUUCUACAUUGAUGAUAUGAGCAGGUGUCAUGAUAGCCCUGAGUGGCAAUUGGAUGGAA